AUAUCAAUGAUGAGUACCUCUAACUUUGCAUUUCUUGCAAAACCUGAACAAAAUUAGUGAGAACUCCUACUGCCACUGUUCUCAUUGUAUCUGAGGUCC